GUUUUUGACGGGAGCUUCAGUGAAGAAGCCGCUGGAGCCGUGAUCGAGAAAGAGACUUUAGAUACAAAUUCUAUCUUGAAGAAUUUUGUUUGCCGCAGCUUGAUUAAACAACCAACCGAAUACCGAUAUUCCAUUCAUGUCUUGAUCAAGCAUUUUUUACGUAAUCAACUGAAGGGGGAGAGAGGGACAGCAGAAAAAGCGCGUGCAGAAGUAUUGAUGGUCGAAUACUACCUAAACUUAGGGCACGAUUUAACCAUGAAGAGUUACUCUAAAAACGGAUACAAAGCUAACAGAGAAGCUCUAAAGAAGGAAGCGCACAACAUCCAGAACGUCCUUAAAAUUUGUUGUCAGCAGAAUCAUACAACCUUCGACAUCUCGGACUGUCUUGAGCGCAGUAAAAUUUACACCACCUUUGCCAGAUUCUUUACCAUCUUUGUUAGAACCAUUAUCCCUGGGUCAAUUGUCGACGAGUUCCUACAACGAUGCGCAAACCUGGCAGAAGAAAAGAAGCAAUAUGCAAUCAAAGUAAAUUUUGAUUGUUUGAUAGCAGACCAAGAACGCAGCA